rfam:Xenorhabdus szentirmaii DSM 16338, WGS project CBXF01000000 data, contig: XENSZ_2115_Contig_1
AAGCGUUGGUGGCACAACUUCCCAUUCAAGGGCGGUUAAGUCACACACAUAAAUACCCAUGUGAAAGUGCCAAAACCCGCCCUAAGAAGCGGGUUUUUUAUC